UACGAAGGGGGCUAGCGUUGUUCGGAAUUACUGGGCGUAAAGCGCGCGCAGGCGGCUCUUCAAGUCAGGGGUGAAAGCCCAGAGCUCAACUCUGGAAUUGCCUUUGAGACUGUAGAGCUUGAGUACGGGAGAGGUGAGUGGAAUUCCCAGUGUAGAGGUGAAAUUCGUAGAUAUUGGGAAGAACACCGGUGGCGAAGGCGGCUCACUGGCCCGUUUCUGACGCUCAGGCGCGACAGCGUGGGGAGCAAACAGG
rnacentral:rRNA from 1 species